rnacentral:rRNA from 1 species
GCUUGUUGGUGGGGUGAUGGCCUACCAAGGCGACGACGGGUAGCCGGCCUGAGAGGGUGACCGGCCACACUGGGACUGAGGCACGGCCCAGACUCCUACGGGAGGCAGCAGUGGGGAAUAUUGGACAAUGGGCGAAAGCCUGAUCCAGCAACGCCGCGUGAGGGAUGACUGCCUUCGGGUUGUAAACCUCUUUCAGCGGGGACGAAGCGAAAGUGACGGUACCCGCAGAAGAAGCACCGGCCAACUACGUGCCAGCAGCCGCGGUAAUACGUAGGGUGCGAGCGUUGUCCGGAAUUAUUGGGCGUAAAGGGCUCGUAGGCGGUUUGUCACGUCGGGAGUGAAAACUCAGGGCUCAGCCCUGAGCCUGCUUCCGAUACGGGCAGACUAGAGUGCGGUAGGGGAGACUGGAAUUCCUGGUGUAGCGGUGAAAUGCGCAGAUAUCAGGAGGAACACCGGUGGCGAAGGCGGGUCUCUGGGCCGUAACUGACGCUGAGGAGCGAAAGCGUGGGGAGCGAACAGGAUUAGAUACCCUGGUAGUCCACGCCGUAAACGUUGGGCGCUAGGUGUGGGGCUCUUUCCACGAGUUCCGUGCCGCAGCAAACGCAUUAAGCGCCCCGCCUGGGGAGUACGG